rnacentral:rRNA from 1 species
AGUGAACGCUGGCGGUAGGCCUAACACAUGCAAGUCGAACGGCAGCACAGUAAGAGCUUGCUCUUACGGGUGGCGAGUGGCGGACGGGUGAGGAAUACAUCGGAAUCUACUUUUUCGUGGGGGAUAACGUAGGGAAACUUACGCUAAUACCGCAUACAACCUACGGGUGAAAGCAGGGGAUCUUCGGACCUUGCGCGAUUGAAUGAGCCGAUGUCGGAUUAGCUAGUUGGCGGGGUAAAGGCCCACCAAGGCGACGAUCCGUAGCUGGUCUGAGAGGAUGAUCAGCCACACUGGCACUGAUACACGAUCCAGACUCCUACGGGAAGCAGCCGUGGGGAAUAUUGGACAAUGGACGCAAGCCUGAUCCAGCCAUACCGCGUGGGUGAAGAAGGCCUUCGGGUUGUGAAGCCCUUUUGUUGGGAAAGAAAAGCAGCAGGUUAAUACCCCGCUGUUCUGACGGUACCCAAAGAAUAAGCACCGGCUGUCUUCGUG